UACGUAGGGGGCGAGCGUUGUCCGGAUUCAUUGGGCGUAAAGCGCGCGUAGGCGGCUUCGUAAGUCGGCCGUGAAAUCUCCAGGCUUAACUUGGAGGGGUCGGGCGAGACUGCGGAGCUCGAGGUGGGCAGAGGGCAGUGGAAUUCCGGGUGUAGUGGUGGAAUGCGUAGAUAUCGGAAGGAACAUCAGUGGCGAAAGCGGCUUCCUGGACCAGUACCGACGUUCAGGCACGAAAGCGUGGGGAGCAAACAGG
rnacentral:rRNA from 1 species